CUUGUGCCGCCGAACCGCGGAGCCGCGAGCCGCGGGCACUACCGGCCGAACCGCGAAGCGUGCAAGGCCCGCCAGGCCCGCACGGCCGUCUAUCGCCAAACGGAGUAUACCACUCGGCCUGCACUCUGCAGAUAGUCAGUUGCGUCGCUGAGCCCUGCACGGACGUUCCAGGACCGUCCCCAGGAGGCGAGGCACAGACCAGCACUCAAGCCUUUGCACUUUGCAGCGGCCGGCCCGCACCCGCUCCACUCCACUGUACUGUAGGUCGAGCGCCGGCUGGGUAGGCGACCCAUCUUUCGCCGUCGAAUGGGCUGCCUAACUUCGCGGCUCUCUGCUACACUGUCGAUGUCAUUUCACGUAUUUAUUUGAAGACUGAAACGGCUUUUUGGUUUUCUGGUCAAUGUAUAAGACAUGAGUAUUUGAUAAUAAAGUGAGUCAAAGACCAUUGGAAAA